rnacentral:misc_RNA from 1 species
CCGAUUUAGCGAACCUGGUCGUGCUGACUAAUGGUUUCGCGAAACUUUUAUUUAAAACCCCACUCAUAUAAAAAUUUUUUUGUAUAUAAAAUAAAUAAGA